CACGGAGGAUCCGAGCGUUCUCCGGAUUUAUUGGGUUUAAAGGGUGCGCAGGCGGGAGAUUAAGUCGGCGGUGAAAUUUUGCAGCUCAACUGUAAAAGUGCCUUCGAAACUGGUUUCCUUGAGUGUAGAUGAAGUAGGCGGAAUUUGUGGUGUAGCGGUGAAAUGCUUAGAUAUCACGAGGAACUCCGAUUGCGCAGGCAGCUUACUAAACUACUACUGACGCUCAGGCACGAAGGCGUGGGGAUCAAACAGGAUUAGAUACCCUGGUAGU
rnacentral:rRNA from 1 species